GUCCACACCGUAAACGAUGAUUACUAGGUGUUGGAGGAUUGACCCCUUCAGUGCCGCAGUUAACACAAUAAGUAAUCCACCUGGGGAGUACGACCGCAAGGUUGAAACUCAAAGGAAUUGACGGGGGCCCGCACAAGCAGCGGAGCAUGUGGUUUAAUUCGAAGCAACGCGAAGAACCUUACCAGGUCUUGACAUCGGAUGCAUAGCCUAGAGAUAGGUGAAGCCCUUCGGGGCAUCCAGACAGGUGGUGCAUGGUUGUCGU
rnacentral:rRNA from 1 species